rnacentral:rRNA from 1 species
CGGUGAAUACGUUCCCGGGCUUGUACACACCGCCCGUCAAGCCAUGGAAGGCCGGGGUACCCAAAGCCAGUGUCCUAACCGUAAGGAGGGAGCUGUUUAAGGUAAAACCGGUGACUGGGGCU